GCCAACGUCCAUACCACGUUGAAUACACCGGUUCUCGUCCGAUCACACGAAGUUAAGCAACGUCGGGCGCGGUCAGUACUUGGAUGGGUGACCGCCUGGGAACACCGCGUGACGUUGGCU
rnacentral:rRNA from 1 species